rnacentral:rRNA from 1 species
AAAUUGAAGAGUUUGAUCAUGGCUCAGAUUGAACGCUGGCGGCAGGCCUAACACAUGCAAGUCGAACGGUAACAGGAAACAGCUUGCUGUUUCGCUGACGAGUGGCGGACGGGUGAGUAAUGUCUGGGAAACUGCCUGAUGGAGGGGGAUAACUACUGGAAACGGUAGCUAAUACCGCAUAAUGUCGCAAGACUAAAGAGGGGGACCUUCGGGCCUCUUGCCAUCGGAUGUGCCCAGAUGGGAUUAGCUAGUAGGUGGGGUAACGGCUCACCUAGGCGACGAUCCCUAGCUGGUCUGAGAGGAUGACCAGCCACACUGGAACUGAGACACGGUCCAGACUCCUACGGGAGGCAGCAGUGGGGAAUAUUGCACAAUGGGCGCAAGCCUGAUGCAGCCAU